GCAUAUAUAGUAAACGUCAUUAUAUUUGCCUUCCAAGCAAGAGUCCUAAUAAAAUUAGUGUAUGCU
rnacentral:tRNA from 1 species